GUUCCACUGUAUAUGUACUGUGAGCGCCGAAUUUCCCAAAUAGUUUUUCGCGCUCUUUUAGUCUAGCUCCAGCUUCCCUUACGAAGCUCGUUCCAUCGAAUCGUGAUCUUUCGAUCAAUUUUGUCAUGUAGUAGCCUUUCGAGAUCUUUUCUUCGUUUGAAAUCAAGUUUUGUAGAAGACAUACGAGAUUUACGACAUAUUUAUGACAUGUAUGAUGAUUAGUGGACUGUAUGUGAAGACUUCGAUGGUUAUUUGGAUCAAUACAAGUUUAAACGUCCGUAAACUCUUGUCGAUUUUGUUACAGAGGAGGAAAAGUUUCGCUUGGCUGCCACAUGUACAUAUCACAAGUUUGCCAUUGAUUACAACCUGAUCAUGGAUUUUUUGUAACAAAUUGCAAACCGAUGAGUGAGUGCAUGCAGCUUAAUUGCGACAAUUGAUUAUUUGUUUUGUUUUGGCAAUUAGCAACUUAUCAAAGUGUACAACACAAAUUGUUAGAUCGUUCACAUCAAUAGUAAGUAAACAAUUUAUGUUGUAUGCAUUUGUAUUUGAUAAAUCAUGACCGCAUGUAGACAGUAUAUUUUUUCGUUAUAAUUUUUGGUUAUUCUAUUAUUGUUGUGCACCUCAUGUCAAUUAGUAGCUGAAUUAAAAUGGGCUUCAUCAUGGCUUCGAGUUAAUUGCCCGAGAGAGCUGUGGGAUCAAAGGAAACUUGCCGUGACCUGACUCUUUAUUUGAAAGACUCUUGUUCUAUGUAUAUGCAUAGUCUUUCAAAUAGAUUAUUAAUUUAAAAGACUCUGGUACAUGUUAAUGUAUCCAGUCACUACACCAAAACGACUCAAAUCAGCACUAUUCAGCACUCUAUUCAGCAUUGGAAUUCACUGCCGGUCAGUAUCAAAACAAUAUCUCGUAACGGUUUUAAGUAUAGGUAUAAGUAUAGGUAUAUAAGUAUGGGUAUAGGUAAGUAUAGGUAUAAGUUAUAUUGUUUUCUAAAUGAUGUUGGCAAUUUACUGUAAUAACAUUUUAUUCGGAUGCUUACAUUGUUACGAAUCCAGUCAGUCAUCUACCUCUUUAUACUUCAUGCCAAUUUUCUUUAAAUCUGCCGCCAUUGAUGAAAUGUUAUUCAUUAUUUGUUAGGACCAUAGCCCUUUGUUCAAACUUGUAUGUAUUUUUUAUUUCAAUAAAAUUGAUUUUACACCGG